rnacentral:hammerhead_ribozyme from 1 species
AUCCAGCUAGCGAGUCGCAAAUAGGACGAAACGCGCGUCAAACUAGAU